GAUGAACGCUGGCGGCGUGCCUAACACAUGCAAGUCGAGCGGACAGAUGAGGAGCUUUCUCCUUUUACGUUAGCGGCGUACGUGCGAGUAACAUGUCCAGCACCCACCUCUAUGACUGGGAUAACUUCGUGAAACCGGUACCAAUACCGGCUAAUCUUUUCAACCGCAUGGUUGAAUAGUUUUAGACGCUUUUGCUGUCACUUAUACCUGUAUCCUCGUGGCAUUAGCUAGGGGGUAGGGUAACGGCCUACCAAGGCGACGCUGCGUAGACGACCUGAGAGGAUGAUCGGCCACACUGGAACUGAGACACGGUCCAGACUACUACGGGAGGCAGCAGUAGGGAAUGUUAGGCAAUGGGCGAAAGCAUGACGGAGCAAGGCAGCGUGGGUGAUGAAGGCCUUCGGAUGGUAAAGCACGUUUAUGGGGGAAGAACAAAUGUGGAAGAAGAUAUGGACGUAUUGACGGUACCGGAAGAAGAAGCAACGGCUAACUACGUG
rnacentral:rRNA from 1 species